rnacentral:rRNA from 1 species
UUUGCUAAUGUUUUUUCGCCUCGGGAAUUAAUCAGACUAUUCCGAGCGGAACGAGCAGGGCGAGCUUUGGAUGAAUCGAUCUAUUAUCGACUCAUCUUAUUGGGAAUAACAAGGGCUUCCCUGAAUACCCAAAGUUUCAUAUCUGAAGCAAGUUUUCAAGAAAUUGCUCGAGUUUUAGCAAAAGCUGUCCUACUAGGUCGCAUUGAUUGGUUGAAAGGCUUGAAAGAAAACGUAGUUAUGUGGGGAUUAUACCUGUUGGUACCGGAUUCAAAAAAUGUGUGCAUCGUUUCCCACAAGACAAGAACCUUUAUUUCGAAAUAA